GGAGAUGCAACACAUUAAAUCAGCAGAUCAACUUCGUUGGGAAAAAUCUUCAGCCAAGGUAAAGGGUGAAAGGAUGUUUAAUUUUAUGAGUAUAAAAUAACGUGUGAUGAACGAGAAUACCAAAAUUCCCAGAUAUUCAUUCGGGGCUUACUAUGUAUGGUCGAUCACUAUUGAGUAAUAAUAAUAAUUAAUUAAUAAUAUAUGAAUGGAAUAGUGAGGACUAAAAUAUAAUUUAGCAACCUAUAGAAUUUUCCUAAAUCUAUUAAAAUCAAGAUUGCAUAUUGUCUGAUUUUAUGAAAUGUUAUGCUGAUUGUUAUUGUAUGAAUGAUAUGUACCUUAGUGUUCUUGUUACUUGAUUGAAAUUACGAUAUUACUUUAAAGUGCACCUCUUUGAUUCCUUAUUAUGUGAUUGAUGAGACUGAACUGUGCAUUGUGAGUAGUGUAAAUCAAAUAUUGGGAUUUUAUUGUGAUUGAUUGAUAUACAUAUAUAAUGAUGAAUAUUAUGAAGUCAAAAUGAAACUUAUUGAGUUUUGAUGAUCGAAUAAGUGUGAGAUAUGUGGUAGAUUUUGGAGUUAGUAUUAUUUUGUCAUCAUAUAAGGAGAGUCUGACAAAUCAAGUGAUUCAGGGAAGUACAACUAAAUGAGCCUGAUCGUGGAGGGCUAUAGUCAAACUGUAAGGUAAGACUAAUAGACCUUAGGGGUACCUCUAGUAGGGAAUUCCUAAGUGGAUUAAUGUGUUAUUCACUAAGGUCAAGUGUUACCGUGCAACACAAGAGUACCCCGACCGUCGUGUAUAUGUGUCUCGAGCUGAGUUGAGGGAAUCUAUGAGGACUUGCCAUUCAUGAAUUGUCCGUCUACUCUUGUAGUGACAUAGUAUCAGGCCUCCUAACCAAGUACUUCACAGUAGAAUGAUAUGAAAUGAUGAAGAAGUAUAGAGUAUACGACAUGCAUAGCAUUUCAUCCUGGUGACUGCUUUAUUGUGAUUCAUUUAUAUUAACCGUUGAUAUUAUGAUCUUGAGUGUUUCUCCUGUUUGUAAUGAUUUGACUAAUUGCGUGUUCUCCUUGUUUAUCUUAUACUGUUAAAUAAUUUCGAAACUCACCCCUCGUUGUUUGUGUUUGGCGUUUGCGUUGGAUGCAGACAAGUUACAAGCUGCAGGUGAUAACUAGUACCAUCAAAGUGGCUGAAGCAAUCUUGUCUUGAAGACUUUCAUUAUGUGUUUGUUUUUUGUUAACGUCUAUUAAAUUGGGAAUUCUCGCUCUGAUAGUGACAUCGGGUUGGGACUACAUUCACAAUUAUCAUUAAACUUAUGUAUGAGUGCUUCCAAAAGGAUUUUUUUGAUUACUGUUAUGAUUUCAAAUAGUUAAAUUUGAUAGACAUUUUGGAUUAAUG
rnacentral:lncRNA from 1 species